rnacentral:lncRNA from 1 species
GACAUAUAACGACGACAACUAAAACACUACGCCGUUAAAUAUAAUUUUCACGACAAGAAAAAAUAUGACGUCUUUAAAUACAUGAGAAGACGACGUUAUUGAUAUCUACUACGUCUCUUAUUUACAACCGUUGUGAAAUAAAUUUUCCACUUCGAUUUUUCUAAAAAAGAUGACGUGGAAAUAGUUGUCAGUGUCAUUAUUUACGACGUAUGUAUUUAUAUAAUUGACGUUGAAAUGCGAAACAACGUCGGUGGCAUUUAUAUAGUCGACGUUGUAUUUAUAUGUAUUCAUUACUCACG